UACGUAGGGGGCUAGCGUUGUCCGGAAUCAUUGGGCGUAAAGCGCGUGUAGGCGGUCCGGUAAGUCCGCUGUGAAAGUCGGGGGCUCAACCCUCGGAUGCCGGUGGAUACUGUCGGGCUUGAGUACGGAAGAGGCGAGUGGAAUUCCUGGUGUAGCGGUGAAAUGCGCAGAUAUCAGGAGGAACACCAGUAGCGAAGGCGGCUCGCUGGGCCAUUCCUGACGCUGAGACGCGAAAGCUAGGGGAGCGAACAGG
rnacentral:rRNA from 1 species